rnacentral:rRNA from 1 species
GACGAACCGUGCGAACGUUAUUCGGAAUCACUGGGCUUAAAGCGCGUGUAGGCGGGAGGGCACGUCCGUCGCUGAAAUCCCCCGGCUCAACCGGGGAACGGGCGCGGAUACGACCUUCCUGGAGGGGCGUAGGGGGACCUGGAACUUCCGGUGGAGCGGUGAAAUGCGUUGAGAUCGGAAGGAACGCCCGUGGCGAAAGCGAGGUCCUGGACGCCUACUGACGCUGAGACGCGAAAAGCCCAGGGGAGCGAACGGG